UUUUGGGCAAUGGGCGAAAGCCUGACCCAGCAACGCCGCGUGAGGGAUGAAGUAUUUCGGUAUGUAAACCUCGAAAGAAUGGGAAGAAUAAAUGACGGUACCAUUUAUAAGCUCCGGCUAACUACGUGCCAGCAGCCGCGGUAAUACGUAGGGAGCAAGCGUUGUUCGGAUUUACUGGGCGUAAAGGGCGCGUAGGCGGCGCGGUAAGUCACUUGUGAAAUCUCUGAGCUUAACUCAGAACGGCCAAGUGAUACUGCUGUGCUAGAGUGCGGAAGAGGCAACCGGAAUUCUUGGUGUAGCGGUGAAAUGCGCAGAUAUCAAGAGGAACACCUGAGGCGAAGGCGGGUUGCUGGGCCGACACUGACGCUGAUGCGCGAAAGCCAGGGGAGCAAACG
rnacentral:rRNA from 1 species